GUCCUAGCCGUAAACGGUGAUCACUAGGUGUUGGGAGCAUCGACCCUUCCAGUGCCGCAGCUAACGCAUUAAGUGAUCCGCCUGUGGAGUACGGCCGCAAGGUUGAAACUCAAAGGAAUUGACGGGGCCGCACAAGCGGUGGAGCAUGUGGUUCAAUUCGACGCAACGCGAAGAACCUUACCCAGACUUGACAUGUACUGGACAGGUGUGGAAACACAUCCUUCCUUCGGGACCAGUGCACAGGUGCUGCAUGGCUGUCGU
rnacentral:rRNA from 1 species